GCGACUUCCCCGCCAUGUUCUGUGUGUUGCUGGCUGGAGAAGGGUGGUUGACAAACUCCGACCCAGCACAGUGUUUCUGUGGGUCAAAACUAGAAAACUAUGUCCAGGCUCGGCCGAGGCGGAAGGAUCCCUUCAGGCCAGGAGUUAAAGAGCAGCCUGGGCAACAUGGCGCGACCCCAUCUCUGUAGUCCCACCUCAGCUUCCCAGAUACUUGAACCCUAAGGUUCAAGGCUGCAAUGAGCUAUGAUCCCAUCACAGCACUCCAUCCUGCGAGACGGAGGACCUGCGGAGCAGCCAGGCUUCAUGAGUUAAAUGCAGAUCUG
rnacentral:lncRNA from 1 species